rnacentral:tmRNA from 1 species
GGGGCCGUAAUGGUUUCGACGGGGAUCAUGGAGGGAUGAGAAGCGAGCGGCGGCCCCGAACCGCCAUAAAAUCGGGAAAACAAUAACUGCGAACGAAGACAAUCUCGUUCUGGCGGCUGCUUAAUGCCGCCUCGUCGGCCCCGAGCCUCCUGCGGCGCGGCCAGCCGGCGUCAUCAAAAGCAGGGAACCAGUUCGCUUAAGCUUUGCGGUGAAUGGGAUUUUAUGAAGCUACUAAAGUGCUAAGCCUGUUUGUGGGCGCAGCGCGGAGGGAAUGUUAAAACACAAACUGCGCUCGGAGAUGCUCGUCUCGCCAGGUUUUCGGACAGGGGUUCGACUCCCCUCGGCUCCACCA